rnacentral:rRNA from 1 species
GAUGAACGCUGGCGGCGUGCCUAAUACAUGCAAGUCGAGCGAACGGACGAGAAGCUUGCUUUUCUGAUGUUAGCGGCGGACGGGUGAGUAACACGUGGAUAACCUACCUAUAUUACUGGGAUAACUUCGGGAAACCGGAGCUAAUACCGUAUAAUAUUUUGAACCGCAUUGUUCAAAAGUGAAAGACGGUCUUUCUGUCACUUAUAGAUGGAUCCGCGCUGCAUUAGAUAGUUGGUAAGUUAACGGCUUACCAAGGCAACGAUGCAUAGCCGACCUGAGAGGGUGAUUGGCCACACGGGAACUGAGACACGGUCCAUACGACUACGGGAGGCCGCAGUAGGCAAUCUUCCGCAAUGGGCGAAAGCCUGACGGAGCAACGCGGCGUGAGUGAUGGAGGUCUUCCGAGCGUAAGACUCUGUUAUUAGGGAAGAACAUAUGUCUAAGUAACUGUACACAUCGUGACGGUACCUAAUCAGAGAGCCACGGCUAACUACGUG